rnacentral:rRNA from 1 species
GGGGGCUUGUAUGAAAGGAUAAACGAAAGCUUUCCUGUCUCCUAGUAAAAAAUUAAAAUUGUCCUUUAGGUGAAGAGACCUAAAUUCAAUCAAAGGACAAGAAGACCCCGUAGAGCUUCAUAUUAAUAACAUUAUCAAAAAUUAAUACUCUCUAUAAUAUAUUUGAUCAUUCUAUAAUAUUUAGCUGGGGCGGCUAAGGAAAAAAAAUCUUCCAUUUCUACAAUAAUGGUCUAUACCUAUAAUCCAACUGAUCCUUAUAAGAACAGAAAAUAUAGCUACCUCGGGGAUAACAGAUUAAUUCUUCUUGAGAGUCCACAUUGACAGAAGAGUUUGACACCUCGAUGUUGGCUUAGGGUACCCAGUAGAUCAGCAACAGUCUAC